CAGUCGAGGGGUAUAGGUUUUCGGACCUAGAGACCGGCGCACGGGUGCGUAACGCGUAUGCAAUCUACCUUUUACAGAGGGAUAGCCCAGAGAAAUUUGGAUUAAUACCUCAUAGUAUAAUGACUCGGCAUCGAGAUAUUAUUAAAGUCACAACGGUAAAAGAUGAGCAUGCGUCCCAUUAGCUUGUUGGUAAGGUAACGGCUUACCAAGGCAACGAUGGGUAGGGGUCCUGAGAGGGAGAUCCCCCACACUGGUACUGAGACACGGACCAGACUCCUACGGGAGGCAGCAGUGAGGAAUAUUGGUCAAUGGGCGCAAGCCUGAACCAGCCAUGCCGCGUGCAGGAUGAAGCAUCUAUGGUGUGUAAACUGCUUUUGUACGAGAAGAAACACUCCUUCGUGAAGGAGCUUGACGGUAUCGUAAGAAUAAGGACCGGCUAACUCCGUGCCAGCAGCCGCGGUAAUACGGAGGGUCCAAGCGUUAUCCGGAAUCAUUGGGUUUAAAGGGUCCGUAGGCGGUUUUGUAAGUCAGUGGUGAAAGCCCAUCGCUCAACGGUGGAACGGCCAUUGAUACUGCAAGACUUGAAUUAUUAGGAAGUAACUAGAAUAUGUAGUGUAGCGGUGAAAUGCUUAGAGAUUACAUGGAAUACCAAUUGCGAAGGCAGGUUACUACUAAUGGAUUGACGCUGAUGGACGAAAGCGUGGGGAGCGAACAAGAUUAGAUACCCUGGUAGUCCACGCCGUANACGAUGGAUACUAGCUGUUCGGAGCAAUCUGAGUGGCUAAGCGAAAGUGAUAAGUAUCCCACCUGGGGAGUACGUUCGCAAGAAUGAAACUCAAAGGAAUUGACGGGGGCCCGCACAAGCGGUGGAGCAUGUGGUUUAAUUCGAUGAUACGCGAGGAACCUUACCA
rnacentral:rRNA from 1 species